AUUGAACGCUUGCGGCAGGCCUAACACAUGCCAGUCGAGCGGAGCGGCGUACGGGUGAGUAAUGCCUCGGUUUCUGCUUGGUAUUGGGUGAUCACGCCCGGCAACGGGCGCUAAUACCGCAUCCUAUCAGAUGAGCCUAGGUCGGAUUAGCUAGUUGGUGGGGUAAAGGCCUACCAAGGCGACGAUCCGUAACUGGACUGAGAGGAUGAUCAGUCACACUGGAACUGAGACAAGGUCCAGACUCCGACGGAAGGCAGAAGUGGGGAAGAGUGGACAAUGGGCGAAAGCCUGAUCCAGCCAAGCCGCGUGUGUGAAGAAGGUCUUCGGAUUGUAAAGCACUUUAAGUUGGGAGGCGUUACCAAGAGAAUAAGCACCGGCUAACUUCGUGCCAGCAGCCGCGGUAAUAC
rnacentral:rRNA from 1 species